AUUGAACGCUGGCGGCAGGCCUAACACAUGCAAGUCGAACGAGUGGCGGACGGGUGCGUAAUGUCUGGGACACUGCCCGAUGGAGGGGGAUAACUACUGGAAACGGUCGCUAAUACCGCAUACCCUCGGAUGUGCCCAGAUUGGAUUAGCUAGUAGGUGGGGUAACGCCUCACCUAGGCGACGAUCCCUAGCUGGUCUGAUAGGAUGACCAGGAAAACUGGAACUGAGACACGGUCCAGAAUCCUACGGGAGGCAGCAGUGGGGAAUAUUGCGCAAUGGGCGAAAGCCUGAUGCAGCCAUGCGGCGUGUAUGAAGAAGGCCUGCGGGUUGUAAAGUAAUUUCAGCGAGGGGGCGGUGCUCGCAGAAGAAGCACAGGCUAACUCCGUGCCAGGAGCCGCGGUAAUAC
rnacentral:rRNA from 1 species